GAGGAUGUAGCUUAAUUGGUAGGGUACUGUGCUCAAGGCAUGAACUAGAGAAUCGGGGUUUGACUCCUCGCAUCUCCG
rnacentral:tRNA from 1 species